rnacentral:rRNA from 1 species
UACCAGCACCCCGAGUGGUCGGGACGUUUUAUUGGGCCUAAAGCAUCCGUAGCCGGUUCUACAAGUCUUCCGUUAAAUCCACCUGCUUAACAGAUGGGCUGCGGAAGAUACUAUAGAGCUAGGAGGCGGGAGCGGCAAGCGGUACUCGAUGGGUAGGGGUAAAAUCCGUUGAUCCAUUGAAGACCACCAGUGGCGAAGGCGGCUUGCCAGAACGCGCUCGACGGUGAGGGAUGAAAGCUGGGGGAGCAAACCGG